UACGUAGGUGGCAAGCGUUGUUCGGAAUUAUUGGGCGUAAAGAGCGUGUAGGCGGUCCGGUAAGUCCGCUGUGAAAGUCGGGGGCUCAACCCUCGAAUGCCGGUGGAUACUGUCGGGCUAGAGUGCGGAAGAGGCGAGUGGAAUUCCUGGUGUAGCGGUGAAAUGCGCAGAUAUCAGGAGGAACACCUAUUGCGAAGGCAGCUCGCUGGGACGUAACUGACGCUGAGACGCGAAAGCGUGGGGAGCAAACAGG
rnacentral:rRNA from 1 species